UACGGGGGGGGCAAGCGUUGUUCAGAAUUACUGGGCGUAAAGGGCUCGUAGGCGGCCAACUAAGUCAGACGUGAAAUCCCUCGGCUUAACCGGGGAACUGCGUCUGAUACUGGAUGGCUUGAGUUUGGGAGAGGGAUGGCGGAAUUCCAGGUGUAGCGGUGAAAUGCGUAGAUAUCUGGAGGAACACCGGUGGCGAAGGGCGGCAUCCUGGACCAACACUUGACGCUGAG
rnacentral:rRNA from 1 species